GUAUAUCUUCCUCUCUAAACAUCUGAUAAAAUUGGAUCGGAACGAUACAGAGAAAAUUAGCAUGCCCCCUACACAAGGAUGACAAGCACAUUAUGGUGUCAAAUCUUGUAUUU
rnacentral:snRNA from 1 species